ACCCGCACAAGCGGUGGAUGAUGUGGAUUAAUUCGAUGCAACGCGAAAACCUUACCUACCCUUGACAUGUCCGGAAUCCCGAAGAGAUUUGGGAGUGCUCGCAAGAGAGCCGGAACACAGGUGCUGCAUGGCUGUCGUCAGCUCGUGUCGUGAGAUGUUGGGUUAGGUCCCGCAACGAGCGCAACCCUUGUCAUUAGUUGCCAUCAUUUGGUUGGGCACUCUAAUGAGACUGCCGGUGACAAACCGGAGGAAGGUGGGGAUGACGUCAAGUCCUCAUGGCCCUUAUGGGUAGGGCUUCACACGUCAUACAAUGGUCGGUACAGAGGGUUGCCAACCCGCGAGGGGGAGCUAAUCCCACAAAGCCGAUCGUAGUCCGGAUCGCAGUCUGCAACUCGACUGCGUGAAGUCGGAAUCGCUAGUAAUCGUGGAUCAGCAUGUCACGGUGAAUACGUUCCCGGGUCUU
rnacentral:rRNA from 1 species